rnacentral:rRNA from 1 species
CCUACGGGAGGCUGCAGUGGGGAAUUUUGCGCAAUGGGCGAAAGCCUGACGCAGCAACGCCGCGUGGGUGAUGAAGGUCUUCGGAUCGUAAAACCCUGUCGUUGGGGACGAAGGUGGGGGCGUUAAUAGCGUUUCUGCUUGACGGUACCCGGAGAGGAAGCCCCGGCUAACUCUGUGCCAGCAGCCGCGGUAAUCAAGAGGGGGCAAGCGUGAUUCGGAAGGAGUGGGCGUGAUUGGCGAGGGCGGGGGUGUAAUCCCCGAGCUCAACGUGGGAACUGCAGCUGAGACUGGAAGGCUAGAGUACUGGAGAGGGUGGUGGAAUUCCUCGUGUAGCGGUGAAAUGCGUAGAGAUGAGGAGGAACACCAGUGGCGAAGGCGGCCACCUGGACAGUAACUGACGCUGAGGCGCGAAAGUGUGGGUAGCAAACAGGAUUAGAUACCCUAGUAGUC